CAGAAACAGUGGGCUGGUAGAGAAGGAGACACAUUUGUGCAAUAUUUAGGAAGCAAAAUUGUAGAGCAGGAAUGGAUCUGAAGUCAAUGAAAAACUCUUCAUAGCUCUAGUUGUUGGGCUUCCCCAGAAGAUGACAUUGAAAGGAAGGUUUGGAUGCAAGUUGUUCAUUUAGGAGGAGAUCUCAGGAAGCACAAAGUAUUUCCUUGAGUCAGGACCUCCAAGUCCUCCCCUAACUAGCCACUGUGCCUUCUCCAGGUAGAAACAGCUUUCUGUCUCAUGACUGACACCCUUCCUUGGUUCCUGUCAUCUGUAGCCAGGUAUGCUGGGUGCUGGAGAGAGCCCUGGACUUGGAGUCAAAAGACUGCAGUUGGAGCAGAGGAUCUUCCCUCAGAAGUUCUGCUGUGGGCUGAGUCGUUUCACCUCUCUGGGCCCCAGAUGGACCUUUGUAAAACUGAGUGGAGGCGAGGAGGUGCAGCAGGUCCAUAAAUUCAUCAGCUUCCCAGGCUGCUUCCACCUUUGCUACAUGUGGCCUCAUCCUUACAGCCCAAGAUGGCUCCUAGGGCUCUAGCCAUCACAUGCUGGUACCAGAGAGCAAGAUGACUGAAGGGGAGGAAAGAGAGCAUGUGCUUGUCUCGUGAAGAGAUUUCCUGGAAGUUACACAAAACAUUUCUGUUUUCAGCUUGUUGACUAGAACAUAGUCGUCUGUCAUACUUAGUGUGGAGGGUGACCAAAGAGGGAGUGUUUUGUCUGAAUAGCAUUGCAUCCAGCCAGAUAGCGAGGGCAAGUAGCUGGAGGGAAGAGGAAGACAGACAUUGUAGAGGAAGCUAGCAGUGACUCCCCCCCAGAUUAUAUCCUAUUAAUAAAAGUAAGAACCUAAUUUAUGCCAUGUGCCUGGGCCUCACAGGGCCAUCACACCUCCAUGAAACAAAGUGCUUGGCCUCACUCUGGUUUGCUUUUGUCAUCUCUGAAACAAGGAGGUUUUACUUCCCCAUGUUUCCCAAAUGUCCAUCAUUCAAAUAAUGCUUCUGCUGUGUAGCCAUGUCUACAGCUGUGGUCAAUGCUCCUCAUCAAGGCCGCUGUCUGUGUACCACUCGUGAUUUAAUCAGUCCGUUUUCUUCCAGGGGACUCUCCCUUUAAGCUUCUCUCUCUCUCUCU
rnacentral:lncRNA from 1 species